AAUAAGCGAAUUUCUGAGUUUUUGGAUUGAAUUUUUUACUCUUCGUCUUAUUUGAAAAAUUUUUAUGAUUAAUAUUUUUAUUGUUAUUACAUGAUAAAACAUGAAUAGUAUUUUGCACGUGAAUAAUUUUUUUAAUUUUUUAAUAAAUCUUCUAAAUAAGACGGAUGGUCAAACGCUUAAUGGAUAAAACUCAGG
rnacentral:pre_miRNA from 1 species